rnacentral:lncRNA from 1 species
CAUCGACGAAGUCGUUGACAAACUUUAUGGCUCCAAAGUCAGAGAAUACUUUGAAGAGAACAACGUUCAGCACAAAAUCCUCGCCCUGCCCACCACCGAAGAAACAAAAUCCAUGGACCUGGUCUUGAACAUCCUGCAAGAAGUCCAAGACUUCAGCAUCGACAGGCGAACCGAGCCCAUCAUCGCCAUCGGAGGGGGCGUCUGCCUGGACAUCGUGGGACUCGCCGCGUCGCUCUACCGACGACGCACCCCCUACAUUCGGGUCCCAACAACCCUCCUCUCCUACGUUGAUGCCAGCGUGGGGGCGAAGACCGGGGUGAAUUUCCUGCAGUGUAAGAACAAGCUCGGGGGCUACACCCCCCCGGUAGCCAGUUUCCUGGAUAGAUCCUUCAUCCAGAGCAUUCCCCGGCGGCACAUCUCCAACGGCCUCGGGGAAAUCUUAAAGAUGGCCCUUAUGAAACACAAAGGGCUGUUUGACCUGCUCAAGACCCAUGGAAAAUACCUUCUGGACACCAAGUUCCAGUCCUGCAGCAGCUUUGCUGACCACGGGGAUGCUGCACUGCAGACCACCAGGAUUGCCAUUGAAACCAUGUUGGAGGAGCUGGCUCCCAACCUCUGGGAGGAUGACCUGGACAGACUGGUUGAUUUUGGUCACGUUAUAAGUCCAGAGCUGGAAAUGAGGGUUUUGCCGUCGCUGAUGCACGGGGAGGCUGUGAACGUCGACAUGGCAUUCAUGACGUACGUGGCCCACGCGCGGGGGCUCAUCGCCGCCGAGGAGAGGGAGCAGAUCCUCCAGUGCAUGAGGGGCCUGGAGCUGCCGGUCUGGCACAGCGGCUGCAGCUGGGCCCUCAUCAAGACAGCCCUGAGGGAGCGCCUGAAGCACAGCGGGGGACAGCCCCGGAUGCCUCUGCCCACCGGCCUCGGCGUAGCAGAGAUAUUCAAUGACACCAGUGAAGAGACCCUGGAGAAAGCAUACAAGCUGUGGGUCAGGGACUGCAGGACGGUGCUGGAGGAAGAGCCGGCUGCUCUCUGAUUGCUGCGAGCCCAAGUUGAUGUCCUGCCCCACACCUGUUUGCCCACACUUGUUUGCCACUGUAAAUUAGUGAGCAGAACUGAAUUUUAAACAUAAACAGAGAAGCACCUGUGAAACUGCAUACACCCCAGAGCAUGGAACAAGAGGAAUCUUGGCAUCUAACCCCAUUUACCUUUUUCAAUUGCUUUGUUUGAAAGGGAAUCUAUCAAUGCUCAAGAAGUGAACACUCACAAGUGAAACCACCAAGUGCCUGUAGUGUAGUUCAUAGCAAGCUGUCUCCUCUUGGGGAAUGUGAGCAGGAUUAUUCAUUCAUUUGGUUAAUCCAAGCUGGGGGCUGCCAAGGCCCUUCCCAGUGGUAUCCUACCCUUGCUUGUGCUUGGACCCCUGAUGGGGGUAGGUGUAGCUGACUCACAGCCAUGGCAAGGGUAUAGCUGGCUCACAGACCAUGGCAUGACACCAUGCAAAAUCUCCAUGUUCUGCAAAAUUAUCU